GUCUGCGGGGUCGAGGAAGGCAGGCAGGGAUCGGUACAGCUGGCAAAGGUGCUCUGCGAUGGCCAUGCAACAGGGGCUGCUCUGCACCAGCCUCUCGUUGGCAUAGGAGAAGUGGCUGCAGGGAACAGGCUGUGCCUCCACCUGGGGAUUCCUGAGGCCAUGUUUGUGGAAGACGGAGAUUCCUUCCUGAAACAGCCUGAGGAGCAGACUGCACAUAUAGUACGGAAGAAGCUGGUGAACAGUACCAAAUGUAUACAUUUACGGAACUCAAACUUGCUUAAAAGAAAAAGAGGCUAAAAGGUCAGAUUCCUGAAAUUAAGCAGACUUUGGAAAUUCUAAAAUACAGGCAGAAGAAAAUCCUGGGAGACCGGAUUCUUCCUAGCAGAUAACUAGUACUGCAAAACUUCACUCCUCCUACUGAGAAGGUUUGUGGCUGGGGAUUAUAAAGGAAGAAAAGCUGCUGGCUCUGGGUCACUCAGAAGGUUAAUCAGAACAUUGGAUGCCAUCCCCAGAGACACUCAAGCUGCAAACCAGAAUAUCUGUUGGAUCAUCAUUAUCCUCAAAACCAACUUUGAGAAAUCUCAGCUGGCUUCCCUCUGGACUCAGACACUGGGUUUCCCACCACAGGAAUAAUCCAUUUUUUAUUUAUUUGCACAGAAAUUCAUUCUCAUUAAAUCCCUGGCUGUUAGCACCAUCCA